rnacentral:tRNA from 2 species
GCCUGGAUGGUGAAAUAGGUAGACACGUGGGACUUAAAAUCCCAUGGACGAUGAGUCCGUGUCGGUUCAAGUCCGACUCUAGGUACCA